AUACCUUUCUCGGCCUCUUGGCUAAGAUCAAGUGUAGUAUUUGUUCUUAUCAGUUUAAUAUCUGAUACGUGAAUCUACGGGUUCAUGAGAUAUUAAGUUUUUUUUUAUGGGGGGGAAUUUAUCUGCGUAGCUCGCUACAUGGAUGGUUUUCAUGUGCCGGUCAAGUGUUGCACUAUUGCUUGGAACCGGUUAGGAGGG